AACGAACGCUGGCGGCGUGCUUAACACAUGCAAGUCGAGUGCGGGUCCGUAGCAAUACGGAUGGCGCACGGCGCACGGGUGCGUAACACGUGGGUAAUCUGCCCUCUGAUGGGGAAUAACUCCGCGAAAGCGGAGCUAAUUCCGCAUAACAUUCCGGGGACUUUGGUUCUUGGAUUCAAAGGCGUAAGUCGUCGGAGGAGGAGCCCGCGCACGAUUAGCUAGUUGGUGAGGUAAUGGCUCACCAAGGCUUUGAUCGUUAGCUGGUCUGAGAGGAUGG
rnacentral:rRNA from 1 species